rnacentral:rRNA from 1 species
UCAGACGAUGCGUCAUGCAUAUCAAUAAGCGGAGGAAAAGAAACUAACAAGGAUUCCCCUAGUAACGGCGAGUGAAGCGGGAAGAGCUCAAAUUUGAAAUCUUAAAGGGUUUCCCUUUACGAGUUGUAGUUUAAAGAAGUGUUUUCUGUUGAGGUUUUGGUAAAAGUUCUUUGGAAUAGGACAUCAUAGAGGGUGAGAAUCCCGUAUUUGACCUUUACUUUCAACUUUGUGAUACACUUUCAAAGAGUCGGAUUAUUUGGGAAUGCAGUCCAAAAUGGGUGGUAAAUUUCAUCUAAAGCUAAAUAUUGGCGAGAGACCGAUAGCGAACAAGUACCGUGAGGGAAAGAUGAAAAGAACUUUGAAAAGAGAGUUAAACAGUACGUGAAAUUGUCAAAAGGGAAGCGUUUGACACCAGUGUUGUUUUUCUGAAAAUCAAUUAAAGAACUGUUUAUGCUAAGCUGUUUAGACUUUAUCAGCUAUCUGUUUAGUUUUGAGCUUUUCUUUAAUGCACUUUUCAGUUAACAAGUCAACAUCAAUUUCUUUUGCUGUAAAAAAGCUUGAGGAAGGUGGCUUGAGAUUCGUCUUAAGUGUUUAUAGCCUCUUGCCUAUGCAGUCGGAGAGAUUGAGGUCUGCAGCGUAGAUCCUUCGGGGCUAAAUGCAUUUGUGCUAAGUUAUAGCAUUUCAUAGACAACUUGUUGACUAUGAUUUGUCUUGUAGCUUACUCGCUUAUGUUAUUUUACCUACGCUUAGGAUGUUGAAUCUGUGCGAGACUAC